rnacentral:rRNA from 1 species
GACGAACGCUGGCGGCGUGCUUAACACAUGCAAGUCGAACGGAAAGGCCCUGCUUUUGUGGGGUGCUCGAGUGGCGAACGGGUGAGUAACACGUGAGUAACCUGCCCUUGACUUUGGGAUAACUUCAGGAAACUGGGGCUAAUACCGGAUAGGAGCUCCUGCUGCAUGGUGGGGGUGGGAAAGUUUCGGCGGUUGGGGAUGGACUCGCGGCUUAUCAGCUUGUUGGUGGGGUAGUGGCAUACCAAGGCUUUGACGGGUAGCCGGCCUGAGAGGGUGACCGGCCACAUUGGGCCUGAGAUACGGCCCAGACUCCUACGGGAGGCAGCAGUGGGGAGUAUUGCACAAUGGGCGGAAGCCUGAUGCAGCAACGCCGCGUGCGGGAUGACGGCCUUCGGGUUGUAAACCGCUUUCGCCUGUGACGAAGCGUGAGUGACGGUAAUGGGUAAAGAAGCACCGGCUAACUACGUG